ensembl:snRNA
ACCAUCCUCUUCUUGAGGCUGCGCUACUGUCCAAGGAGCAUGUAGUGAGGGCAGUACUGCUGACACCUGCACAACACGCUCACAUCAACUAGAGUUUUGCUUUAUAUUUGUGUAAUUAUGGAAAAA